rnacentral:rRNA from 1 species
AGUCGAACGCUUUGUGGUUCACUGAUUUGAAGAGCUUGCUCAGAUAUGACGAUGGACAUUGCAAAGAGUGGCGAACGGGUGAGUAACACGUGGGAAACCUACCUCUUAGCAGGGGAUAACAUUUGGAAACAGAUGCUAAUACCGUAUAACAAUGACAACCGCAUGGUUGUUAUUUAAAAGAUGGUUCUGCUAUCACUAAGAGAUGGUCCCGCGGUGCAUUAGCUAGUUGGUAAGGUAAUGGCUUACCAAGGCGAUGAUGCAUAGCCGAGUUGAGAGACUGAUCGGCCACAAUGGGACUGAGACACGGCCCAUACUCCUACGGGAGGCAGCAGUAGGGAAUCUUCCACAAUGGGCGAAAGCCUGAUGGAGCAACGCCGCGUGUGUGAUGAAGGGUUUCGGCUCGUAAAACACUGUUGUAAGAGAAGAAUGACAUUGAGAGUAACUGUUCAAUGUGUGACGGUAUCUUACCAGAAAGGAACGGCUAAAUACGUGCCAGCAGCCGCGGUAAUACGUAUGUUCCAAGCGUUAUCCGGAUUUAUUGGGCGUAAAGCGAGCGCAGACGGUUAUUUAAGUCUGAAGUGAAAGCCCUCAGCUCAACUGAGGAAUUGCUUUGGAAACUGGAUGACUUGAGUGCAGUAGAGGAAAGUGGAACUCCAUGUGUAGCGGUGAAAUGCGUAGAUAUAUGGAAGAACACCAGUGGCGAAGGCGGCUUUCUGGACUGUAACUGACGUUGAGGCUCGAAAGUGUGGGUAGCAAACAGGAUUAGAUACCCUGGUAGUCCACACCGUAAACGAUGAGUGCUAGGUGUUUGAGGGUUUCCGCCCUUAAGUGCCGCAGCUAACGCAUUAAGCACUCCGCCUGGGGAGUACGACCGCAAGGUUGAAACUCAAAGGAAUUGACGGGGACCCGCACAAGCGGUGGAGCAUGUGGUUUAAUUCGAAGCAACGCGAAGAACCUUACCAGGUCUUGACAUCCCUUGACAACUCCAGAGAUGGAGCGUUCCCUUCGGGGACAAGGUGACAGGUGGUGCAUGGUUGUCGUCAGCUCGUGUCGUGAGAUGUUGGGUUAAGUCCCGCAACGAGCGCAACCCUUAUUACUAGUUGCCAGCAUUCAGUUGGGCACUCUAGUGAGACUGCCGGUGACAAACCGGAGGAAGGUGGGGAUGACGUCAAAUCAUCAUGCCCCUUAUGACCUGGGCUACACACGUGCUACAAUGGCGUAUACAACGAGUUGCCAACCCGCGAGGGUGAGCUAAUCUCUUAAAGUACGUCUCAGUUCGGAUUGUAGGCUGCAACUCGCCUACAUGAAGUCGGAAUCGCUAGUAAUCGCGGAUCAGCACGCCGCGGUGAAUACGUUCCCGGGUCUUGUACACACCGCCCGUCACACCAUGAGAGUUUGUAACACCCAAAGCCGGUGG